GAUGAACGCUAGCUACAGGCUUAACACAUGCAAGUCGAGGGGUAACGAGAGGAAAGCUUGCUUUCCUUGUCGACGACCGGCGCACGGGUGAGUAACGCGUAUCCAACCUGCCCCCAACUAGGGAAUAACCUUGCGAAAGUAAGACUAAUACCCUAUAAUUUCCUCAGAUGUCAUCUGACGAGGAAUAAAGAUUUAUCGGUUGUGGAUGGGGAUGCGUCUGAUUAGCUUGUUGGCGGGGUAACGGCCCACCAAGGCAACGAUCAGUAGGGGUUCUGAGAGGAAUGGCCCACACAUUGGAGCUGAGACACGGUCCAAACGCCUACGGGAGGCAGCAGUGAGGAAUAUUGGUCAAUGGGCGGAAGCUUGAACCAGCCAAGUAGCGUGCAGGAUGACGGCCCUAUGGGUUGUAAACUGCUUUUAUACAGGAAUAAAGUUAGCCACGUGUGGUUAUUUGUAGGUACUGUAUGAAUAGGGACCGGCUAAUUCCGUGCCAGCAGCCGCAGUAA
rnacentral:rRNA from 1 species